AGCGAACGCUGGCGGCAGGCCUAACACAUGCAAGUCGAACGAACCCUUCGGGGUUAGUGGCGGACGGGUGAGUAACACGUGGGAACGUGCCUUUAGGUUCGGAAUAACUCAGGGAAACUUGUGCUAAUACCGAAUGUGCCCUUCGGGGGAAAGAUUUAUCGCCUUUAGAGCGGCCCGCGUCUGAUUAGCUAGUUGGUGAGGUAAAGGCUCACCAAGGCUACGAUCAGUAGCUGGUCUGAGAGGAUGACCAGCCACAUUGGGACUGAGACACGGCCCAAACUCCUACGGGAGGCAGCAGUGGGGAAUCUUGCGCAAUGGGCGAAAGCCUGACGCAGCCAUGCCGCGUGAAUGAUGAAGGUCGUAGGAUUGUAAAAUGCUGUCACCGGGGACGAUAAUGACGGUACCCGGAGAAGAAGCCCCGGCUAACUUCGUGCCAGCAGCCGCGGUAACAC
rnacentral:rRNA from 1 species